UACAGAGGGUGCUAGCGUUGUUCGGAAUCAUUGGGCGUAAAGGGCGUGUAGGCGGUUUGUUAAGUCAUGUGUGAAAUCCCUCGGCUCAACCGGGGAACGACGCAUGAAACUGGCAAGCUAGAGUACCAAAGAGGGGGGUGGAAUUCCCGGUGUAGCGGUGAAAUGCGUAGAUAUCUGGAGGAACACCGGUGGCGAAGGCGGCAUCCUGGACCGACACUGACACUGAGGAGCGAAAGCCAGGGGAGCAAACGGG
rnacentral:rRNA from 1 species